UCGACAAAAACUUGUUAUGACCCUAAAUAACAUAUACCAACAACCAAGAUGGUUUAUGAAAAGCGUGAUUAACUAGUCCAUAAAACUCUUAGAGACUAAGGUGAUGGCUACUAUUCUUACUCUUUGGACAGUACCGCUAACCCUAAGUCUAGACAGCUUCUUGCAUGCUUAGAGGAAGUCUAACUUAUUGGCACAACCCAGCAGCACCUUGGCGUGAAUUGUGGGACUCAACGGAGUGAUAAGGUGGAUAACUAUGGAAGUGAUAAGGC
rnacentral:lncRNA from 1 species